rnacentral:lncRNA from 1 species
AGAAGAAUAUGUUAGAAAAGGUCUAUCAUAAAGAGGACAACACUUUUAAUGUCAUAAUUCUUCAAUUACAAAAUGUUGUAUAAAGAAAUAAGAGUUGUUUUGAACAACCCUUAAUCAAUGCAAACAUUAGUGCUUGUUUCUUUGUAACAUGAACAAGGAACUUUAGAAGAAAGCACAAAGGCAUGAACACUUAAUGUGCCAUGAUUCUUCACUUACAAAUUGUUGUAUGAAGAAAUGAGAGUUGCCUUGUGCAACUCUUGAAAGUUUGUAAUUAUGUUUAGAACAUAAUGGUUGGUUGACAAAAAUAGUCCAUCAACAUGGACUUAUGAUGAUUUUGAAUUAUUGAGUGUUGAAGUGAUAAACCACUUAACGAGACGAAAACUAGGCAAGGACUUCACCUUUGUUUCCCUAUCCUUAUAGUUCACUAAGUUUAUUGUAAACUAUGUAGUGAACAAUAAACCACAUGCUCUCCAAAAUGUUUGAUGUGUAUAACACAAUUGAAAUAAGUUUCAAGAGAGAUGGUGGGAGUUUAGGGACCAUGACUAUUGUAGUCAAAGGUGAAAGUCAAAUGAAGAAGAUAAAAUAACUCCAAGAGAACAAACUUUCUUUAUGAAAGGAUGGACAUUGGAAGGGGUAUUUGCAAGAAAUGUCUUGCAAGUGUCAAAAACACACCUUUCAAAGGUGUUGUAAAUUGUUCUUGAAUAGUUCAAAACAGUUGGUUCUUCUACUUGAAUGCUUGAUUCCGUAUUAGUAACUAUGUUUUACAAUCGUUGUAAAAGUGUGACUAAUAAGAAGUAGAAGAUAUAUGAGAGAAGAAAAGGUACUUCACAUUCGGAACGUGAAUAAAAUAUAGAUCUCUGCGAAGGCAGAUAGUACUUACUUCCUCAUAUGAACUACCAAAGAAAUUGG